GAUGAACGCUGGCGGCGUGCCUAAUACAUGCAAGUCGAGCGAACAGAUGAGGAGCUUGCUCCUCUGACGUUAGCGGCGGACGGGUGAGUAACACGUGGAUAACCUACCUAUAAGACUGGGAUAACUUCGGGAAACCGGAGCUAAUACCGGAUAAUAUAUUGAACCGCAUGGUUCAAUAGUGAAAGACGGUUUUGCUGUCACUUAUAGAUGGAUCCGCGCCGCAUUAGCUAGUUGGUAAGGUAACGGCUUACCAAGGCAUCGAUGCGUAGCCGACCUGAGAGGGUGAUCGGCCACACUGGAACGGAGACACGGUCCAGACUCCUACGGGAGGCAGCAGUAGGGAAUCUUCCGCAAUGGGCGAAAGCCUGACGGAGCAACGCCGCGUGAGUGAUGAAGGUCUUCGGAUCGUAAAACGCUGUUAUUAGGGAAGAACAAAUGUGUAAGUAACUAUGCACGUCUUGACGGUACCUAAUCAGAAAGCCACGGCUAACUACGUG
rnacentral:rRNA from 1 species